GACACGCUUUAGGGGAAUGCACUGCACUGAAGGGGACAACAGUGGUAAGCAGACAGGAAUGGGUGCCAGUUCCGCUUAUGAGGAGCCCUGGUAGAGAGCAGGGCUGGGUGGUGCCACCAAGGCCAAGCGUGGGUGACAGCUGGGAAGCAGGGACCCUUUCCCCCAAGCCCUGGCCACUAAGCUGCUUCUCCAUUAGCAUUCAGCAACCACGGAUCCGAUUCCUGAGGUCAGUCCCAAGGUUCUGAGUGGAUUUCAUCUUGGUCAGCAUGUGGACACAGAGGAAUGACAGCGAGAUGGUGAGCCUCACACUGGCAUGGGCACAUCUGCACAGGCUGUCCCUUGGCUCCCUGCCAUGCCAGGUCACAGAAGCCUCAGCCUUCUUCUCCGGAGAGCAGGCCUGUGGUAAGGCAAUUUCAUCCUGCUUGGGAUAGCUGCAGAUGCUUUCUGUCUCUCCCCAUUUCCCAGGCCUUGCUACUGGUUGGUUGCAUGGGUCAAUAGGCAACCAGACACAGAUUCUAGUCCUGGAUCUGCCUCUGAGACUAGGCAGCUCCUGUGACCACCCUGACCCCAACUUCCUCAGAGCCUCUUGUGUUGGCUGAUGUUGGCUGGUGUUGCCACGAGGGUUACGUGAAUCAACCUCACAGAGCACUGGGCAAAUGCUCAGGAGCCAGUGUCCUUGCUGGAGGGCUACAUGGGAAAGUGAGCAGUAGAGACAGCUGCUCCACCGUGGAACACAUAAUACUCCUCUUUUAAAUUUUCUAAAAGCUAAUCGACUGUUUAUUGCCACAAAAAUUAAAAUGCUGAAAUAUAAGUAGAAAUGAAUGCAAUUAUUGUGGGAAUGAGGAAUGUAAAUAGCCUAAGCAAAUAAGAGGAGGAAGCACUCAUCGCUAAGCCAUCUACCGGGCAGGCAAAGACACAGACGGGAGAAGACACAAAGCGUUACCAAGAUAGACUUCAUAAACUCUCAUCAUGAGACAGCUGGAGCAGGUGUCAGAGCAGGAAGGCUUCAGGGCAGGGAGUCACCCAGAGUGCGGAGAGACAUUUCACAGUGAUAGAAGGGGUUAGUUCAGGAGAGCAUGCAAACAGACAUACACACACGAAGCGAGACCUGGGAGAAGCCAAGUGUUGUGGCUGACAGCUGUAAUCCCAGCUCUUGGGAUGCAGAGGCUGGAGGUUUUCUGUG